GUGUCACUUCCAUCAAGUUUCCAGUGUAUCAAGGGCUUCAGACCUUGGAUAAUUGCUUUUGGAUCUAAAGGAUAAGCAUUAAAGAAAACAUGGGUAUCAUACGCUGCUAAUCCGUCGCCUCUCAUCGUUGUCCUGUGUUGGAUUCCUGGACAAGUCUUCACAUGCGAGUAUUAUACAUGUUUCUUGGCUGCAUUGAUGAUUCGCAAGUACGUCCCCUACACGAUUUCCGGCUUAAAAGUACCAUCCCCCUAACUUUACUGUGAAGUCUAAUAUUCAUGUAACCCUGAUCGUCAAAAGUGCAUCGAAAUUCGGUGUUCAAUAAAAGGUACGAAAAUAAAAUCAAA